rnacentral:rRNA from 1 species
ACGGGAGGCAGCAGUGAGGAAUAUUGGUCAAUGGGCGAGAGCCUGAACCAGCCAAGUAGCGUGAAGGAUGACUGCCCUAUGGGUUGUAAACUUCUUUUAUAAAGGAAUAAAGUCGGGUAUGCAUGCCCGUUUGCAUGUACUUUAUGAAUAAGGAUCGGCUAACUCCGUGCCAGCGGCCGCGGUAAUACGGAGGAUCCGAGCGUUAUCCGGAUUUAUUGGGUUUAAAGGGAGCGUAGAUGGAUGUUUAAGUCAGUUGUGAAAGUUUGCGGCUCAACCGUAAAAUUGCAGUUGAUACUGGAUAUCUUGAGUGCAGUUGAGGCAGGCGGAAUUCGUGGUGUAGCGGUGAAAUGCUUAGAUAUCACGAAGAACUCCGAUUGCGAAGGCAGCCUGCUAAGCUGCAACUGACAUUGAGGCUCGAAAGUGUGGGUAUCAAACAGGAUUAGAUACCCUGGUAGUCCACACGGUAAACGAUGAAUACUCGCUGUUUGCGAUUACAGCAAGCGGCC